AGCAGCCGCGGUAAUUCCAGCUCCAAUAGCGUAUAUUAAAGUUGUUGCAGUUAAAAAGCUCGUAGUUGAAUUUCGGGGUCAGUAGGUUGGUCAUGCCACUGGUAUGUACUGGUCUCACUGAUUCCUCCUUCCUGAUGAACUGUAAUGCCAUUAAUUUGGUGUUGCAGGGAAUCUGGACUGUUACUUUGAAAAAUUAGAGUGUUUAAAGCAGGCUAACGCUUGAAUACAUUAGCAUGGAAUAAUGAAAUAGGACGUUCGAUCCUAUUUUGUUGGUUUCUAGGAUUGACGUAAUGAUUAAUAGGGAUAGUUGGGGGCAUUAGUAUUCAAUUGUCAGAGGUGAAAUUCUUGGAUUUAUUGAAGACUAACUACUGCGAAAGCAUUUGCCAAGGAUGUUUUCAUUAAUCAAGAACGAAAGUUAGGGGAUCGAAGACGAUCAGAUACCGUCGUAGUCUUAACCAUAAACUAUGCCGACUAGGGAUCGGAUGAUGUUAAUUUUUAUGA
rnacentral:rRNA from 1 species